AUAUGUUUAUCACAUUUUUCUAUUAAGAGAAAUUCCACUUAGAGUCAGUUCCUUUCUAAAGUUGAUUUUGUUGGCUCGCUCUCAUGGCAUUGCAUUUCUUUGCAUUUUACAGUUGUGAUUUGCAAUUUUUUUAAGUAGACUUUUUGGUUUGUUUCAUUCUUUGGUAGAUUGUAUUAAUGUUUCUAAUUCUUUACUCCUUCCCUUUUACAGAAUUAUACCUGGACAUCUUUUGCCAGGUGACUUUUCAGUGCCUUCCACUAUAGUAGAUGGAAUAUACUUCCCCACUCCAUUGAGCCCAUUUUUUGUUGGCUAACCUAUAGUUUUAAGAUUGUAAUUUUUUAAAUCUAGUUACCUUGGUUGCUUUUUAGAGAGCUAUUCGUCCCAAUAACUUAGACCACCAUUAUUUAAAAAUGGAAUUCCUAACCACAAUGUAUGUACCUCAUCAUAGGAAGGAACACAAAUGGGGGAGUAGAAGAAAACAGAAAUGUAUUAAUAGGCGACAGUGAGUACUUCAGCUUUAUGCGUAAUGUUUUAUUUCCUGUAUUACAAAGUAAAAGAUAUGAAGCAUUUGACUAAAAAUGUUAAUUUAUAUAAUUUGAAUGAUGGGUACAUGGGCAGUUGUUAUAUUUAUAUAUACUUUUAUGUAUUCUAAAUUUUUUUCUCAAAAUAAAAAAGAGAAACAGUCAAGGGUUA
rnacentral:lncRNA from 1 species